AGAGGAAUUGCUGGGUCAUAUGGUAACUAUGUUCAACUUUUUGAAGAAUUACCAGACUUCUCCAAAGUGAUUCUACCAUUUUACAUUCCCAUCAGCAGU
rnacentral:pre_miRNA from 1 species